rnacentral:rRNA from 1 species
GACGAACGCUGGCGGCGUGCCUAACACAUGCAAGUCGAGCGAAUGAAGUUCCUUCGGGAAUGGAUUUAGCGGCGGACGGGUGAGUAACACGUGGGCAACCUGCCUCAUAGAGGGGAAUAGCCUUCCGAAAGGGAGAUUAAUACCGCAUAAGAUUGUAGUAUCACAUGGUACAGCAAUUAAAGGAGCAAUCCGCUAUGAGAUGGGCCCGCGGCGCAUUAGCUAGUUGGUGAGGUAACGGCUCACCAAGGCGACGAUGCGUAGCCGACCUGAGAGGGCGAUCGGCCACAUUGGGACUGAGACACGGCCCAGACUCCUACGGGAGGCAGCAGUGGGGAAUAUUGCACAAUGGGGGAAACCCUGAUGCAGCAACGCCGCGUGAGUGAUGACGGCCUUCGUGUUGUAAAGCUCUGUCUUCAGGGACGAUAAUGACGGUACCUGAGGAGGAAGCCACGGCUAACUACGUGCCAGCCGCCGCAGUAACAC